CUCUCUGCCCCUCCUCUGCUUGUGCUCGCUCUCUCUUUCUCUCUCUCAAAAAUAAAUACACAUUAAAUAAUUCGAGUUUUGAUUUGCUUAUCUGUGAAAGAAGGACAACAAAACCUUCAUAGGGCCACAAUAAGGAUUAAAUGAGGUAAUAAUAUUACAUGGCAGCGUCUGUUAGAUAUCAGGUCCUCGAAAAUAUUAAUUCUUAGGUGAAUAUAAAUUCAUAUCCGUCAUGCAUGCAGUAGUUACUUAACUUCUCUCUUCACCAUCCCCUCCAGUUUCCAGAAUGCUAAUCAGCUUUUAAGCUAUUAACUUAGGGUGCCUGGAACCAGAAUAUAUCGGAAUCCAAGGCUCUUUGAUUUUAACAGAAAGAUAUUUUUUGCUUUCAGGACAAGACUAAAGAGAUCCAGGAAGCAGAUUAGCUGGCACCCCUGGAUGAAACCUUGGCCAUUCGAGCUGUGGCUGUGGAUUGACCAAAGUUGUGGCUCCACCCACGACUUUGAUCAAGAUUUCCAGAAAGUUGCCUCACCACACCCCUACCCAGGCUGAGCCCACUCCCCCUCCCCCUGCCAUCUGUUUACCUUGUCCACAUGUCAUCGAAGCAGGUCUUCCUCUGCCACUUAAUUAAUUGGCCCAUGGGCCUGUCUUUUCCACAAGACAGUGAGCCUGAGGGCAGGAUUUGGGUUCUGUAUCUCCAGUGCACUGCAGAAGGCCCAGAUCAAUAAUGGCCUCAAAAGUUACCCUCUACUGAACACUUACAGAUACCUACAGACACCUUUGGGUCUUUCCUAUAACCCAUAAAGGAGAAUUAUCCUAUUUUUAAUAGACGAGGCACCUGGGGAUACAGAGAAGUUCAUUACUGUCCCUAAGAUAUACAAGUAGAAAGUCGCAAAGCCUGGAAUGGAGUUCAGCUCUGUCCAGAACCUCUGACCUAACAUGCUUCGGUGCCUGUCAUCAGAAGUUUGGUAAAUCGAGCGUCAGUGUUAAGAGGUUGUCUCCACAUACUGUAAACCAGGUCAGCAUGCCCUCGUUCUCUGUGCCUGGUGGGACCGACCGAGGCUUCCAGAAACCACAGGAAGGGCUGGGGAAUGAGUAAGUGCGGAUACAUUCACUACUCAGGCCAUAUUGGUGAUAUAAUUCAUUCAGGAAACUGUAAACAACCUCAGAGAUGCUGCCAUGUUUAUUGGAAGGAGAAGAAACAGGCCACCUGUAGAUAUGAUUUUUGCCGUGUUGCCUGGGCAAGGGGUCAGGGGAGUAGGAAGUCUGGCUGCUUUUUUCUCCAUAACCAGCACCCUGGCCUCCAGCCCCGUUCCUUGCCUGUGUUGACAUCUGGUCUUCAACACCGGUAGUAUGCCCAUCUGGGCUCCCCAUAACUCGCCUCCUCAAUCCACCCCCUCAGGCUUCCAGACUGCUUGCCUCAUCAUGUGAUGACUACUGUUUUCCAGAAAUCCAGUCCAAACCACUUCCUCUUUCCUCACUCCUUACAGAAGAAAGGCAAGAACCUCAGGCAAGGCAGCUAAAGUUUAGCCAGCAAACGGUGGUCUCUCAAAUAAAAUUCCGAGUACAAAUUUAACCCUGCCACUUACUCCCUAUAGGACCUUGCAUAAGUUUUUGAAUGGCUCUGUGCCUCAGUUUCCUUACCUGUAAAAUGGGAAUUAUAAUUACUGCCAGAAAGACUGAUGAGCGAUUAAAUGAGACGAUGUGCGUAAAAAUGCGUGGAUACAGGUAUACACAGGUUUUCUCCCUCCUUCUUGCCACCUUCAACCUUUUCCUCGUGUGAAUACAGAGGAGGGACCUAGAGAGAAUGCACACCAUGGUGUGGGGGCAGUCAGGGUAUUCUGAGAAUUUCUGAGCCCUUCUCACCCUUCCAAGACUUGGGGUCCUAAAAACCCUCCCACUCUGAGAUUCCCAAACAGCUAUUGGAAAGAAAAGAAGUUCCCCCUCCUGUCGCCUGGGGAACACGCAGGUUGAUUAUUGCCAACAUCUCACUACACAAAGACCCUGACGGGGCGGGGCUUCUGAGUGGCUUCUGGAUGAGAAGAGAGAGGAGAUGGGGUUGGAAUUCUAGGGGCCUGGCUCCAGAGAGCCCAGGCCCACGCCUUGGGAACCCUUCCAUGGAGAAGUGGAGAGGCAGGUUUUCAUCACUAAAGACUUACGGGCAAUCACACACUUCAGGCGAGAACAUUCCAUGUGGAAAUUGGGUCCUGCCCCUGACUUCCGUCCUUGACUCCUCAGAAUAAAACCAGAAAGAAGAAGGUGAAGAUGGGAAGACUAAGGCACAGGGAGCAUAGUCCCUCAGUAAGUGGCAGAGACAGGAUGCCAACGUGAACAGCGUGGAUCUGUCACACUGGCCUCUUAACCCCUCCAUCACGCUGCUUCCAUUCCAACAUACCCAUCCUUGUACCGGAAACAAAGACAAGGGCUCACUUCUGAGGAAUCCAGAGGGCAUGGCGACAGAGCCCAUCAUUCUCUGUGGAACAACUGUAACUUGAAAGAGGAGAAAAGUAAUUGACAUCCAACACGGAAGGUUGGGAAAGCUGAGGGAGGUAGAAGGAGCCAAAAGGGGCAGAGAUUUGACUAUUUCUGGGGGCAGGGCUGGUGGGUACCGAGAGAAAGUGCCGUAGGGAUAUCAGAAAUAGAUGGGGUUCAGAUGGGAUUCGUGGAGGAGAGAUAAGGAACAGGAAUGAAAAGGAGGUAAAGAGAAAAAUCUUGGAAAGGCAUAUCUUUCAUUGCCCACCCCAGAAGGAAACCUCUCUCUCUCUCACACACACACACACGCACACACGAACACCAGCUUAUAUGCUUGUAUGGUUGUAUGGUUUGGGGAUAAGGUAGGUAGAUCAGGUCCACAAUGCCUGGUCUCCCUCUCCCCACUUCAUUCUUAUAAUUUUGUAAGAUUUUGGGGGGCACCUGGGUGGCUCAGUCGGUUGAGCAUCUGACCCUUGACUUUGGCUCAGGUCAUGAUCC